CUAAAACUAAGAACUAUUCCAACAUGAAAUGUGGGUUAGUUUAGAGUUCAGCCUACUCCCGUGCAUUUCCAAGCAGGAAAGAGAUUGCAGUGUGUGCAUGCAAAAACACAUGCUCUAGCUUAGACGGAAAAGGAGGAGGAAGUCGGAUGAUUGAGGACAUCAGGGUGUAAGGGAGAAGAAGAUUUCCCCUCUUCUACAGGAAGGCCAGGAGUCAGGCACAAGUGGUGGGAAGGAAAUUGUCCUCUUUCACGCUUCCAAAGCCCAAGGAGUCAUCAACUGCCUUGUCAUUCAAAGCAUGAGGUCCAGCACCCCUGGUCAAGUCCAAAUCCUCUAUCCCCGAAGACCAGGACCAACCUGUGGGGCGCUCAGCUUACAGAUACUGUGAGAGAGGAGACGAGAGAGAGGGACGACCAGCAUCCUGGACUUGCGCUGACACUGGAAACACCUGGAAGCGGCGUGCAGGAGACAUCCUGGAACUUCCUGAGCAGUGUAAGGCUCCAGAUUGGUGGACAGCACAUCAGGCACAAUGAAAUCAUGUAGAUCAAAGAGGGAUAACUGAAACUCUCCCCGUGUAUGCUUGCCAGUGUUCCCAUUCGCUACAGUCUUUGUGGAAAAUGAACACAGCAGCCACAUCCAGGUGAGCUAGCAUGUGCUCAUUGUGGUUUGUCAGAGCAGUUCGAGA
rnacentral:lncRNA from 1 species